UUUGCAUCGUCAGCUGAUCCUCCAGUGAACUGAGAAGGUUUAUAGUCCUGUGAGUUCAACACUGCAGGACUCAGAUCUGUCAGUCAACACAGCAGAAACCACAAGCACCAUGACUCUCAUCACCAUCCUCAUCUGGACGCUGGCCUGCUGCUGUUUUACAGGAUGCAGCGGUCAGGUGACUGUGACUCAGCCUGCAGCAGUGACAUCUACUCCAGGAUCCUCUGUCUCUCUGUCCUGUAAAACCAGCCAACCUGUUUACAUUAUGUCUGAUGGCGAUCAGGAUAUGUCCUGGUACCAACAGAAAUCUGGACAAACUCCAAAGCUUCUAAUAAGAUAUGUGAGCACACGUGAAUCAGGAACACCAGCUCGGUUUAGUGGCAGUGGAAGCAGCUCUGACUUCACUUUGACCAUCAGUGGAGUUCAGACUGAAGAUGCAGCAGUUUAUUACUGUCAGAGUUUCCACUCAUAAGCAGUGGUAUGUGU